rnacentral:rRNA from 1 species
AUUGAACGCUGGCGGCAGGCCUAACACAUGCAAGUCGAACGGUAACAGGAAGAAGCUUGCUUCUUUGCUGACGAGUGGCGGACGGGUGAGUGAUGUCUGGGAAACUGCCUGAUGGAGGGGGAUAACUACUGGAAACGGUAGCUAAUACCGCAUAACGUCGCAAGACCAAAGAGGGGGACCUUCGGGCCUCUUGCCAUCGGAUGUGCCCAGAUGGGAUUAGCUAGUAGGUGGGGUAACGGCUCACCUAGGCGACGAUCCCUAGCUGGUCUGAGAGGAUGACCAGCCACACUGGAACUGAGACACGGUCCAGACUCCUACGGGAGGCAGCAGUGGGGAAUAUUGCACAAUGGGCGCAAGCCUGAUGCAGCCAUGCCGCGUGUAUGAAGAAGGCCUUCGGGUUGUAAAGUACUUUCAGCGGGGAGGAAGGGAGUAAAGUUAAUACCUUUGCUCAUUGACGUUACCCGCAGAAGAAGCACCGGCUAACUCCGUG